rnacentral:rRNA from 1 species
AUUGAACGCUGGCGGCAGGCCUAACACAUGCAAGUCGAACGAGUGGCGGACGGGCGAGUAAUGUCUGGGAAACUGCCCGAUGGAGGGGGAUAACUACUGGAAACGGUAGCUAAUACCGCAUACCAUCGGAUGUGCCCAGAUGGGAUUAGCUAGUGGGUGGGGUAACGGCCCACCUAGGCGACGAUCCCUGGCUGAUCUGAGAGGAUGACCAGGCAAACUGGAACUGAGACACGGUCAAGACUCCUACGGGAGGCAGCAGUGGGGAAUAUUGCACAAUGGGCGCAAGCCAGAUGCAGCCAUGCCGCGUGUAUGAAGAAGGCCUUCGGGUUGUAAAGUACUUUCAGCGAGGAGGCGUUGCACGCAGAAGAAGCGCCGGCUAACUCCGUGCCAGCAGCCGCGGUAAUAC